CAUCAUACCUAAUAUUGUAUAUAUUUGUAAAAAACUUUUUGUACAGGCAUUUUAGUAAAUUUAUGUUCAUGCAGACGGCCCCUAGGUCCCCACGCACCAUCCAGUCCAAAGUUCUGAUCCUGACGUCACUGUAACAUCGACCAUCUGUGCUCCACGCUGUGUUCAGUGGUAACGGACCGUCAAUGUGUUUUUUAAUUCAGCUAUGCUGCCAGAUCCUGAAGGCAAACUACAGAAAAGCCAGUUGCCCUGGUAAAGCAGGAGAUCUGACCAUGCAGGUUCUGGAGCUUUCUGAGGGACCUUUUUGGGCUAAUGAAGCAGAUGAUGAACUUUCAGAGGAACACAGUGACGGCGUGCCCUCGGAGACCGUCUCAGCCUUAUGCACCGGGUGUAGGACAGACGUGCUGUCUGGCCACACAACCAGGACAAGUACUGGCCCACGGACCUGAAGGACCUCAGCCAAACUGCCAUGCUUUAGCUCAGCCAGCCACACAGCAGAAAGAGGAGGCGCACCAGCCCAUGUGCUUAAAGCACUACUGGUCCCAGGAGAUAGCAGAGCUUCCUCGACCCAUACAGCAUCCAGGUGAGUCUUUAGAAAUGAAACAAUUCAUUCUAACACAAUGUCUGGUUUUCAGUGAGUCGGAGAAGAUAGUGUCUGAAAAGAAGCCCGCAGGAACGGUGUCUCCUCCAACAGGAAGUCCCACUCCAGCAGCUCUGCCCUCAUCAGUGCAACACAACACAAUGGCCAGACACCUGGGUGUGGACACUUCCAUGCUCCGUAGAGCCAUCUGGAACUAUAUUCAGGGCAGGUUUGGGAUUCGGAACCUUUUAAAAUGCUGAAGAUGUCUCCGAGACUCCCCCGGGACCUUCAAAUAAGCACCAGCGGGAGAUCAUUUGUUUUUGCAUCUCAACAGGUCCAAGGCCAGGUGAAUCAUUAAAAAAAAGAAACACACACUUCCACUUGUAUGUACGGCAUAAGAUAUGAUGACUACGGCUAAAGUGGGGAAUAAUAAUCGAUACAGAUUUAGAUCGUAAAAUAAUUUCUUGCAUCUCUAUAAGAAGCAGAGGUCACAGACUUGUUUUUGUUUUCCAGCGGUUUAACAUACGCUUCUGGCAUUUGUGCGCUUAGAUGCUGGACCAGAGGAGGACAGACAUGCUGUCUCUCCACUACUCACAGUUUGCAUUCAUGCUGUCAAUGUACCAGACCAGGCAAUCUGAACCAGUUGGUCUGAAAACGUUGUAUCCGGAGUGUAAAAGGGAUCAAGAAGUAUAAGGAAAAAUCCACAACAAUACAGCCCCUAUUUGUCAGAAGGGAGUUGGUGAAGUUGAUGGUCGAUCAGUAGCUGUGGUUGUGGCCCCCACGCACCAUCCAGUUUAAUGUUCUGAUACUGACGCCACUUUGUAACAUCGAUCAUCUGUGCUCAACCCUAUGCUCGAUGGUGACGGGCCGUCACUGUGUUUUUUUUAUGAAGGUCUGUCGGAAAGGGCGUCUUGAGAUGCUUAAAGGGUAAACUAAUUCCUAUGAUCCAGGAAAGCCGUUCACCCAGGGAAACUAGGAAUGAUUUUGGACAAAGCAUUUAUGUGGCUCUUUGCAUCAACUCCAGUUGCCCAGAGCCACAGAAGAAGAGGAGGCGCACAAGUCCAUGUGGUGAAAGCGCUACUGGUCUCAGUAGAGAGCAGUGACCCGUCCUGCACCACCAUGUAAACAGUGGACCAGGUGAGUCAUCAAAAAUGCAACAAUUCCAUUUGUAUGUACAGGAUAAGAAAUGAUCACAAUGGCUACAGUGAAAAAAAUCAACAUAAUCUUAAAAGAUGGGCCGGCCUUUAAACUGAUGUGCCACAGGAGGAAACCUUUCAUCGCCAAUGUGAUCAUGUCUGAUACAAAAACUUUUUCGACUUUUCAUAAUCUUCAUCUACAUCUCGACCUGAGGAAAGCAAGAAGGCCAAGCUGAGCAUCAGUAGCGAUAAGGAGAUAUAUAUCGUGCAGGUAAGGAAAGGUAAGAAAUGUUAAAAUACAGUUUGGAACUCAGUGAUGUUAUGCUUCCAUGUGACGUAGUCAAAUACCGACAGAAAAUGAGUCUCUCGGCUAAAACAAGUCUGGCUUUUCACGUCCCAGUCCAAUCAGAACCCGUGUAGGUGUGUAUACAACAGCCAUGCAAAUUAAAACAAGGCAACAAGGAAUGGUAAAAGAUGGAUGUGUCAGAUUUUACUUCUAUAUCACAAAGCUAUGGAAUGUUUUUUUUUUUGAGUUCUUAAUUUUUGACAUGUAGUUAAUUUUCCUUUUUGCAGCAUCCCCUGCUGACUAUUUUCAUUUUUAUUGUUACUAUUAUCUGUUUAGUUGUUUAUUAGUAUUGAGUAAUUGUUUAAGGUUAUAUGGUUGACAUGUUCCUUU